rnacentral:rRNA from 1 species
CGACUCUCGGCAACGGAUAUCUAGGCUCUCGCAUCGAUGAAGAACGUAGCAAACUGCGAGAGUUGGUGUGAAUUGCAGAAUCCCGUGAACCAUGGAGUCUUUGAACGCAAGUUGCGCCCGAAGCCAUUAGGCCGAGGGCACGUCUGCCUGGGCGUCAC